UACGUAGGUGGCAAGCGUUGUCCGGAUUUAUUGGGUUUAAAGGGUGCGUAGGCGGCCCUGUAAGUCAGUGCUGAAAUAUCCCGGCUUAACCGGGAGGGUGGCAUUGAUACUGCGGGGCUAGAGUACAGAUGAGGUAGGCGGAAUUGACGGUGUAGCGGUGAAAUGCUUAGAUAUCGUCAAGAACACCUAUAGCGAAGGCGGCUUACUAGGCUGUAACUGACGCUGAGGCACGAAAGUGUGGGGAUCAAACAGG
rnacentral:rRNA from 1 species